GACGAACGCUGGCGGCGUGCUUAACACAUGCAAGUCGAACGGAAAGGCCCUGCUUUUGUGGGGUGCUCGAGUGGCGAACGGGUGAGUAACACGUGAGUAACCUGCCCUUGACUUUGGGAUAACUUCAGGAAGCUGGGGCUAAUACCGGAUAGGAGCUCCUGCUGCAUGGUGGGGGUUGGAAAGUUUCGGCGGUUGGGGAUGGACUCGCGGCUUAUCAGCUUGUUGGUGGGGUAGUGGCUUACCAAGGCUUUGACGGGUAGCCGGCCUGAGAGGGUGACCGGCCACAUUGGGACUGAGAUACGGCCCAGACUCCUACGGGGGGCAGCAGUGGGGAAUAUUGCACAAUGGGCGGAAGCCUGAUGCAGCAACGCCGCGUGCGGGAUGACGGCCUUCGGGUUGUAAACCGCUUUCGCCUGUGACGAAGCGUGAGUGACGGUAAUGGGUAAAGAAGCACCGGCUAACUACGU
rnacentral:rRNA from 1 species